UUAAAGAAUGGUUCUAUUUUUCAAAGCAGUUUUGAAGCCUAUCCCAUGAGUGAACACUCGGUGACAGGAUUAAAGGGGAAGAAGGGAACAGUCCAAAAAGCAUGACCCCUGCCUUUCACAGAACUUUCAAGAGAAUCAAGGAGACAGAAUGACACACAUGACCUGGAGCAGUGACUGAAGGCACUAGACAAGCUGGUACAAGCUGUUGGCUUCAGCCUGCUGCACAAGAGGCCUCCCAUGCUGCCAUCCCCAGACAGCCUGUGCCCUCCAGCUGGCAGAAGUACCCUGGGAGGCGCAAGGUCCAUGGUGGUGUGGGAGCAGAUGUGCCCCAGGGCAUGGACAGGAAGGUUGGAACCUGUGUCAUGGAGCAGGAGCAGAGCGAGACUCUGUGCGGUUAUGUGAAGCGAAGUGGCUAUACCUUGCCCCAGAGUGAAGAAGGAAGGUGAGAGGAGAGAGGGGAGGAAAAUAGGUCUCUGCCUGCAUGUACCCUUGGCAGCCUUCUCUGAGAAGGUGACACAGAUGACACUGUGGCCCCUCCAGGAGGUGUCAAGACAAAUUUGGGUGACAAUUUCUACCCAGUCACCCUCUCUUACUAUGAGAAGGUGGAUCUCCUGCUUAUCUUCAUAUAUGCGAUUCGUUUCACAGGUGGGAUAAACUACAUCCACGCUCCAAUAACCAAGGAGUAAGAGAUGGAAAUUUGGGGAGGCUCUCAAAAUCUCGAUCAGUAAUAAGGAAAGAACCCAUACUCCAGGCGGUGAGGCAGCAGGGGCUGUGAGAGGGGAGCUGCGUGCGGCUCUCAGCUUUGGACAAGGCCCUUAGAUCUUACAUAUGUGCGUGACAGUGAGGGACCCUCCAUCUCUGCAGUGGUGAACAGAGGCAGGGUAAUGGGGCACAAGUGCAGGGGCUGGAUACUAGCAAGAAAGCGAGGGAUUGAGUUAAAGGCUGAAUUGUGUCCCCUGGAAAUUCCUGUGUUGAAGCCUAACCCUAAGUACCUCAGAAUGUGUUCUUAUUUGAGACGGUGUCUUUUGUUACUGUUGUUUUGGUUUGGUUUUUUUGAGACGGGGUCUCGCUCUGUCUCCCAGUCUGGAGUGCAGUGGCGCGAUCUCAGCUCCUUGCAGCCUCCAUCUCCUGGACUCAAACCAUCCUCCCACAUCAGCCCUAGGAACCACAGGGAUCUGUGGGGCCACAGGCACCUGUCUACACCUGGCUAAUUUUUAUUUUUAUUUUUGUAGAGAUGAGGUUUCAUGAUGCUAGCCAGGCUGGUCUUGAA
rnacentral:lncRNA from 1 species